GUAUAACAUAUAUUUAAAAGACCAUCAGUUCUGUCUGACCUUGUUUUUCUCCACUAAAAACUGACUUCCUGCUAAAUGUGUGACAGAAACAGUGACAGACAGCAAAGAGGAAGGAGGAGGGUGGACUUGGUCUGACUGCUACAUGCUGCUGAGCUCAGAUGACCAGGACUCAACAUGGAGGAAUCAUGUCUGCUGUGGCUGCUCGUUGUGACGUCACUGCUGAGCGGCUGCACACACCAAGCCUCUCUGAAGAUCAGUCCUCACAGAUCUCAGCUGUUUGUAGGAGAGUCUGUCUCUCUGAGGUGUGAGGAGGACGACAGCUCUGAUGGAUGGACGGUGACGAGGAACACGACUGAAGGAACCAGGACUCAGUGUGGAGCUGACUGGGGAAGAAAAGAUGGUUCUUCCUGUAACAUCAGCUACACCUUCACAUGGGACAGUGGAGUUUACUGGUGUGAGUCCACAGGCGGAGCAGCCAGUAGCAGCAUCAACAUCACUGUCACUGGUAAGAUGAGGCUGUUGUAACUCCAGCAGGUCUGAACACUGAGUCUGUCUUUCACCUUUUCACUUUGGCUGAGCCUGAGAGAGACAAAGACAAGAAGACAGACAGGUGACCUUCAGGAGGCAACAACACUGGGUGGAGCACUGAGUCUGCCUCCUCAACAUGUUGUUCAUCUGUCAGUCUGACAUUAUGUUCAACAUGUAGAGAUGAUAAAUCAGCUCCAUGUGCUAAAUGUUUCUCCAGAGAGAUUGUUGUGAUGAAGUGUUGCUGAGUACAGGACAGGACAGUGAGACUGCUUGUGUGAGUCAGAGGAUCCAUCAAGCUGAGUUUGAUGCUGUGAAAUCACACUUUAACCUGCCCAUGUUAGCAGCACACGUUAGUCAACACACUGUCUGUUUCUACUGAUCACAACAUCACCAGACUCCCUUAACAAAUGUACUGAUUUAAGAGUUGUUGAGUGAGGAGAGACUCGACAAACUUUGUGAAACACAACGACAAAUUCUGAAUGAUUGGAGCUUCUUGUGGAUUCAGCAUUAAAUGAGCAGGUGUCCAUGUUGUUCAUCAGUUGUGUUUCAGGGUUUCAUCUCCAUGUGAAGCUCUUUAAACUGUGCUUGUGUGACUGUAACUUGAACUAGAGCUGAGCUGAGCUGUGUUCACACAUGAGCAUGUUACACUACGGUGGCCCUGAGGGCUCAAUGCAUCGCACCAAACAGACAAAACAAAGCAAAGAAGAAAACAUCUUCAUCAGUUUGACCAGCACAACCAAACACCUGAUGCUGUCCUGUUGUCAGAGUGAUGAAGAUGAUGAAGAGGAGAUAUGUUUGUGUUCUGUCUUUUUAAGCUGAGCCUUCAGAACCGCCCUGCAACGACCCGGUUCUACUGCAGCAGAGGACGAGACGACACCACAAACUUUAUGUCCCCGGUCACUGCAGCACUGGGUACAAUGUACCAGUAGCUACAUGCUAACAGGCUAAUCUAACCUGUAGAAACAUGAGGUUAUCUGUUGUGUAGCUGUGACAGGCUGCUACCUGCAUCCUGUCAUCACCUUCACACUCACAACAGGAACACACAACUGGAAUAACAUGUUUGUCUGUGUGUUGAGGUGGAGCAGUGAUCCUGCAGAGUCCUGUCCUCCCUGUGAUGGAGGGAGAUGAUGUCACUCUCACCUGUACAACAAACACCUCCAACCUCCCAGCUGCUUUCUAUAAAGAUGGCUCCUUCAUCAGGACUGAGCCUACAGGUCACAUGACCAUCCACCAUGUUUCCAGGUCUGAUGAAGGACUCUACAAGUGUAACACCAUCAGUGAUGGAGAGUCUCCACCCAGCUGGAUCUCUGUCACAGGUCAGCAGGUUCAACUUAAGUCUACAAUAAAAAUGUCAGCAGAGACAGAGACAGCCUGUCUCCAGAGUCAGUGUUGGCAUCCAAUGUUUAACAUUUCUAUGUUUCAUACGUAGCAGAUAAAACUUUACAUGUCUUUAUGUUUUAGAUUAGUUUUGUCUUUAAUACCAAAGCUGGAAAACCUGACAUCUUGUUAAAGUAUAAUAUUGAACCAUCAUGUGUAGGCCUGGGACGAUAACACAUUUUGCUAGACGAUAUAUUGUCCCACAAAUUAUUGAUGAUAAACGAUAUUAUUGUCGACAUUAUCGAGACC
ensembl:lncRNA